GUGAGGAAUAUUGGUCAAUGGGCGGGAGCCUGAACCAGCCAAGUCGCGUGAGGGAAGACGGUCCUAUGGAUUGUAAACCUCUUUAGGCGGGGAGCAAUGCCGGGCACGCGUGCCCGGAGGGAGAGUACCCGCAGAAUAAGCAUCGGCUAACUCCGUGCCAGCAGCCGCGGUAAUACGGAGGAUGCGAGCGUUAUCCGGAUUUAUUGGGUUUAAAGGGUGCGUAGGCGGAUUUUUAAGUCAGCGGUAAAAUGUCCGGGCUCAACCCGGGCCGGCCGUUGAAACUGGGGAUCUUGAGUGGGCGAGAAGUAUGCGGAAUGCGUGGUGUAGCGGUGAAAUGCAUAGAUAUCACGCAGAACUCCGAUUGCGAAGGCAGCAUACCGGCGCCCGACUGACGCUGAGGCACGAAAGCGUGGGGAUCGAACAGGA
rnacentral:rRNA from 1 species